rnacentral:rRNA from 1 species
GAAACUCAAAGGAAUUGACGGGGACCCGCACAAGUAGCGGAGCAUGUGGUUUAAUUCGAAGCAACGCGAAGAACCUUACCUAAGCUUGACAUCCCAAUGACAUCUCCUUAAUCGGAGAGUUCCCUUCGGGGACAUUGGUGACAGGUGGUGCAUGGUUGUCGUCAGCUCGUGUCGUGAGAUGUUGGGUUAAGUCCCGCAACGAGCGCAACCCUUGUCUUUAGUUGCCAUCAUUAAGUUGGGCACUCUAGAGAGACUGCCAGGGAUAACCUGGAGGAAGGUGGGGAUGACGUCAAAUCAUCAUGCCCCUUAUGCUUAGGGCUACACACGUGCUACAAUGGGUAGUACAGAGGGUUGCAAAGCCGUAAGGUGGAGCUAAUCCCUUAAAGCUACUCUCAGUUCGGAUUGUAGGCUGAAACUCGCCUACA